CCGAGAACCGGUACUAAGUCAAUACCGGUACCUGAUUUGACGGUAUCGGUUUACCGUUAAGCCGCUGGACAUACGGUGCUGCUAUCGGUAUAUUACGUGACCCUCAUCCCGGUUUGAGACCCCUCUGAUUGGCCAGCGGCGCGCCCUUAUCAUUGUUGUGAUUUGUGUUGUGACUGUGAGACUCCCGCAGUCAUGGCGGACAGAGCGAAGCGAUCAAAGGUCUGGGUGCACUUUCAAAAAUUGAGUGGCGAUAGUGCAAAGUGCAAUCUUUGUACUCAAGUCGUUGCUUGUAAAGGGGGUAACACAAGCAACUUGAUGAAGCAUUUGCAAACGAGACACUCGUUGAAUCUCAAACGGUGCAGCAUAUUUGACAGCCUAGUAAACACUGUGGCUGCUAGUAAUGCUAGUGCUAAUAGUGCUAGCAUUAGCACAACAACAACGUCUUCCUCCUCAGUGCAACCUGGUGCGAGUUGCGGGACGGCUGCCUCGACUUCGACACGUGAAGGGAGAUGACCACAGCCCUUAACCCUAAUUACCACCCCCCUUCCAGAGACACUCUGUCCAACACACUCAUACCUGCUUGGUAUAACAUCGAAAAAGAGAACCUGAGGGCAGAGCUUGCCAGUGUGGAAAAAGUUGCCAUUACAAGUGAUGGGUGGACCAGUAUUACACAGGACCACUACAUAACGGUCACGCUCCACUACAUUACAAAAAAUGUUCAUCCUCUGUUUGAGGGAAAACUCCAAAAAGCAUGAUAGGGAGAGCCAGGCCCCUUUAAGUUAUUAUAUUUAUUUUUGUCUGCUUCUGAGAAGCUAAUGUAAGUUAUACAGUUACUUCUGCAAGACAAUAUCAAUAAAAUAACUGUUUAAUCUUCA